GACGAACGCUGGCGGCGUGCUUAACACAUGCAAGUCGAACGGAAAGGCCCUGCUUUUGUGGGGUGCUCGAGUGGCGAACGGGUGAGUAACACGUGAGUAACCUGCCCUUGACUUUGGGAUAACUUCAGGAAACUGGGGCUAAUACCGGAUAGGAGCUCCUGCUGCAUGGUGGGGGUUGGAAAGUUUCGGCGGUUGGGGAUGGACUCGCGGCUUAUCAGCUUGUUGGUGGGGUAGUGGCUUACCAAGGCUUUGACGGGUAGCCGGCCUGAGAGGGUGACCGGCCACAUUGGGACAGAGAUACGGCCCAGACUCCUACGGGAGGCAGCAGUGGGGAAUAUUGCACAAUGGGCGGAAGCCUGAUGCAGCAACGCCGGGUGCGGGAUGACGGCCUUCGGGUUGUAAACCGCUUUCGCUUGUGACGAAGCGUGAGUGACGGUAAUGGAUAAAGAAGCACCGGCUAACUACGUG
rnacentral:rRNA from 1 species